AGUGAACGCUGGCGGUAGGCCUAACACAUGCAAGUCGAACGGCAGCACAGUAAGAGCUUGCUCUUACGGGUGGCGAGUGGCGGACGGGUGAGGAAUACAUCGGAAUCUACUUUUUCGUGGGGGAUAACGUAGGGAAACUUACGCUAAUACCGCAUACGACCUACGGGUGAAAGCAGGGGAUCUUCGGACCUUGCGCGAUUGAAUGAGCCGAUGUCGGAUUAGCUAGUUGGCGGGGUAAAGGCCCACCAAGGCGACGAUCCGCGGCUGGUCUGAGAGGAUGAUCAGCCACACUGGAACUGAGACACGGUCCAGACUCCUACGGGAGGCAGCAGUGGGGAAUAUUGGACAAUGGGCGCAAGCCUGAUCCAGCCAUACCGCGUGGGUGAAGAAGGCCUUCGGGUUGUAAAGCCCUUUUGUUGGGAAAGAAAAGCAGCAGGUUAAUACCCCGCUGUUCUGACGGUACCCAAAGAAUAAGCACCGGCUAACUUCGUG
rnacentral:rRNA from 1 species